rnacentral:lncRNA from 1 species
CACAACCUCUCAUCAAUCUGUGUGGCAGAGAAAGAGAUAGCCUUUUUUCGCAAGAUUGUGUUGCUCUCUUCAUCCCCAUUUUCACUCCCAAAAAAAAAGAAAAAAGAAAAAAAGUAAAUCAAAGAAUCUCGUAGAAGCUAAAGCAGAGCAGCCAUGGCGAACAUGAUCAUGGCCUCUUCCCGAGCCCUAAUCACCGCUUCCAUCUCCACCCCCAAACUCAAACCCCAACAAUCCCAACCCCAAUCCCUCCCCAAAAUCUCGCUGCCGAGCAAAGCCCAGCACCUCCUCUCCGCCGCCGCCGCCGCCGCAACCCUAACCCUAACCCACGCGCCGCCGUCUCUGGCGGCGGACAUCGAGAAGGCGGCGCUGUUCGACUUCAACCUGACGCUCCCGAUCAUCGCGGCGGAGUUCCUGUUCCUGAUGUUCGCGAUGGACAAGCUGUACUACUCCCCGCUGGGGAAAUUCAUGGACGAGAGGGACGCCGCCAUCAGGGAGAAGCUGAGCAGCGUGAAGGACACCUCGGCGGAGGUGAAGCAGCUGGAGGCGCAGGGCAACGCCAUGAUGAAGGCGGCGAGGGCGGAGAUCUCGGCGGCGCUGAACAAGAUGAAGAAGGAGACGCAGGUGGAGGUGGAGGCCAAGCUGGCCGAGGGGAGGAAGAAGAUCGAGGCGGAGCUGCAGGAGGCGCUCGCCAGCUUGGAGAAGCAGAAGGAUGAGACCAUCGCCGCGCUCGAUUCGCAGAUCGCGGCGCUCAGCGAUGAGAUUGUCAAGAAAGUUCUUCCCGUUUCUUGAUCACUCACUUUCUUUUUUCAUGUGCUUUUCAAUCUAUAAACUAAAACUGCUACAUAUGUAAUUACUGAUUUUUACGUGGAAUACUUUGGACUGCGUUUAUUUUGCAUGAUUGAUAAGACGAGAUGUUUAGUUUGAUGGAUUAGAUACGAUUUAGGCGUUCGAUUGCUCGAGAUUGAAUUGUUCGGAGAUGGCCUGAGAUUAUUUUUGCAAUAGGGGUAAGGCGAUGACUCGAAGUCAUAACUAUCUCGAGAUUAAGUAUUGAGUUAUAUUUAUAUCUAAUCCUACAAAUCGAACAUCCUUUUGUGAUAUGUUAUGACAUUGUUUGGUUGGAUG